GAUGAACGCUAGCUACAGGCUUAACACAUGCAAGUCGCGGGGCAGCAUGGGGGUUGCUUGCAAUCCCCGAUGGCGACCGGCGCACGGGUGAGUAACGCGUAUCCAACCUGCCCUUCACCACGGGAUAACCCGGCGAAAGUCGGACUAAUACCGUAUGUUUUCCAUUGACGGCCUCCGAUUUUGACGAAAGGCUUGGCGGUGAGGGAUGGGGAUGCGUCCGAUUAGCCAGACGGCGGGGUAACGGCCCACCGUGGCUACGAUCGGUAGGGGUUCUGAGAGGAAGGUCCCCCACACUGGAACUGAGACACGGGCCAGACUCCUACGGGAGGCAGCAGUGAGGAAUAUUGGUCAAUGGGCGUAAGCCUGAACCAGCCAAGUAGCGUGCAGGAUGACGGCCCUAUGGGCUGUAAACUGCUUUUAUGCGGGGAUAAAGUGGCCCACGUGUGGGCUUUUGCAGGUACCGCAUGAAUAAGGACCGGCUAAUUCCGUG
rnacentral:rRNA from 1 species